rnacentral:misc_RNA from 1 species
UCCAUAUAAACUUGUCAUCAGCAGGCUGUUGCUGGGGCAUUUUCAGGAGAUCACUCUCAUCCUUUGAAGAUUUGGGGUGCCCUAAUCGAAAUCGAACAGAUUUUGCAGAAUAUAUGGGCUUGCCAGGCUGGAAAUAAGCUUCGAAAGGUUGCAUAAAAACUUCCGUGAUCACACAUAAAUCAGCUUUCAAUUUGUAAAUCAG